CUGGGAGUUCCAGGGUGAAGAGAUCUUCUUCAUCUGGAGACCUCUGCUAAAGGUGAAGACCUUCUAACAGGCCAGACAGCCUUAGCAGGACUCAGAAAUCAUACAUCAAGAACCCCCUGGAACAUUACAUUCCCCUGUUAAGAGCUUGGACAAGAGUUUGGCAUUCCGCUUUUGCAGAUCGCUGCCGGUAGCGGAGCGCAAAGGGAACGGCGAGACUCCCACAUCUUUCAGCGAGAAGAAAGGAGUCAGCGGAGCAGACUAAUACGGACUUGUGUCGGGUGCCCUUGCCCUACAAAGGCUGCCUUUAAAAGAGAAACGCAGUGUUAUUUAAUGAGCUGUGAGAUGAGGCACUGCUGCUAACGCUCAGAUCCCAGGAUUCAUCGGCUAUUCAUUGUGCUUAAUGUACAUGUUUCUGCACCGUGCAUUUAGGAGAUCCCAGAGAAGAAUCCAAAACGGCUG
rnacentral:lncRNA from 1 species